UUUGAACAAUGCCAGACUUUAAAGUUCGAGUAAACUGGAGUGUCGUUCUUACCAAUCGAUUUCACGUACCUCAAAUUGUUUACGAUUUGGCCAUAUGUCCUGACAUGUCCAAAAUCUUAGCUACAGCUGACAAAUAUAUUAUGGUUUACGAUCCUCGAACUGGUAUGUCUAUUGACUAUCUGAAAGGGCACAAAUCCACAGUUUUCUGUCUU